GUUGAAGACAACGAGGAAUCACAAAUUUUUAUACAGUGUCCAGACUACACAAAUAGCAAGUUAUGACCAGAUGGUUCACAGAUAUAUAUGAGACAGUUGUUCUUCCAACCCUAUCCUUGAGUCUGGAAUCUUGAAACCCCCGCAGCCUGUGGGCAGUUAAUAGUUCUAUGCGGCUUUGAGGGAGAAAAGUACAAGAAAUGUCCACUGUUAAGAAGAGGAUAGGAGAACUUAAAGCACAUGGAGAGGUGUUAUGUCAGCUACAUCCCUCGCACCCCCAUGAAUUUGUAAUGUGCAAGACCCACAUCUACUAACUAACAAAGCUAGGUUGCUGAAUUUUGUAAUUUUCCACAAGAUACAGAAGAUUUAUAUUUAUUUAUGCAAGAUAGGAAAGGAUACGUCCAGAACAACACAUAUGUCUGAAGA